rnacentral:tRNA from 1 species
AUAGGGAGACCUACUUCUGAUAUACCGACCCAUUUUUAUUAGGUAAUCAGUAAGUCAUCCCAAGGUCGAACGAGUUUUGGAUGUUAGGCUUUCAAGCUAUAUAGUGGUUCGGGAUAAGGGCUAUUAGCUCAGGUGGUUAGAGCGCACCCCUGAUAAGGGUGAGGUCCCUGGUUCGAGUCCAGGAUGGCCCACCUUUAGUUAAGAGUUUUGAGUUAAGAGUUUUGAGUUAAGAGUUUUGAGUUAAGGGAUUGAUUCAGGCGAAGGGAUUCAGAACUAGGAGUUCAAAGCUGAGAACUUAAGAGGGGGUUUAGCUCAGUUGGUAGAGCGCCUGCUUUGCAAGCAGGAUGUCAGCGGUUCGAGUCCGCUAACCUCCACUGGGGCGAAGGUAGUUAGAAGCCGAGUCGGAGAGAUAGAGACAGCACCUAGUUUCACUAUUGCUUAUUUAGGUAAGGGAUAGGGAGGGAGGCUGCUGGAGUUAUAUCCAGAGAUAGAACCUAGAAAACUGCAUAGUUGAGAGUCCAAAUGUAGAAGCAGACACCAAUGGACAGAUAGU